rnacentral:rRNA from 1 species
UACGUAGGGGGCUAGCGUUGUCCGGAUUUAUUGGGCGUAAAGAGCGUGUAGGCGGCCAGGUAGGUCUGGUGUGAAAACUCGAGGCUUAACCUUGAGAUGUCAUCGGAAACCAUUUGGCUAGAGUCCGGAAGAGGAAAGUGGAAUUCCUGGUGUAGCGGUGAAAUGCGUAGAUAUCAGGAGGAACACCUGUGGUGUAGACAGCUUACUGGACCAUUUCUGACGCUGAGACACGAAAGCGUGGGUAGCAAACAGG